rnacentral:rRNA from 1 species
AUUGUACGCUGGCGGCAGGCUUAACACAUGCAAGUCGAGCGGGGUGAUGGUGCUUGCACUAUCACUUAGCGGCGGACGGGUGAGUAAUGCUUAGGAAUCUGCCUAUUAGUGGGGGACAACAUCUCGAAAGGGAUGCUAAUACCGCAUACGCCCUACGGGAGAAAGCAGGGGAUCACUUGUGACCUUGCGCUAAUAGAUGAGCCUAAGUCGGAUUAGCUAGUUGGUGGGGUAAAGGCCUACCAAGGCGACGAUCUGUAGAGGGUCUGAGAGGAUGAUCCGCCACACUGGGACAGAGACACGGCCCAGACUCCUACGGGAGGCAGCAGUGGGGAAUAUUGGACAAUGGGGGGAACCCUGAUCCAGCCAUGCCGCGUGUGUGAAGAAGGCCUUAUGGUUGUAAAGCACUUUAAGCGAGGAGGAGGCUCUUUUGGUUAAUACCCAAGAUGAGUGGACGUUACUCGCAGAAUAAGCACCGGCUAACUCUGUGCCAGCAGCCGCGGUAA